rnacentral:rRNA from 1 species
GACGAACGCCGGCGACGUGCUUAACACAUGCAAGUCGAACGGAAAGGCCCUGCUUUUGUGGGGUGCUCGAGUGGCGAACGGGUGAGUAACACGUGAGUAACCUGCCCUUGACUUUGGGAUAACUUCAGGAAACUGGGGCUAAUACCGGAUAGGAGCUCCUGCUGCAUGGUGGGGGUUGGAAAGUUUCGGCGGUUGGGGAUGGACUCGCGGCUUAUCAGCUUGUUGGUGGGGUAGUGGCUUACCAAGGCUUUGACGGGUAGCCGGCCUGAGAGGGUGACCGGCCACAUUGGGACUGAGAUACGGCCCAGACUCCUACGGGAGGCAGCAGUGGGGAAUAUUGCACAAUGGGCGGAAGCCUGAUGCAGCAACGCCGCGUGCGGGAUGACGGCCUUCGGGUUGUAAACCGCUUUCGCCUGUGACGAAGCGUGAGUGACGGUAAUGGGUAAAGAAGCACCGGCUAACUACGUG